AAAUGGUAGUAACCAAAUUGCCAAUGAGAUUUGUCAGGAGUAAGCAAAGCAAAUUAAGAUCAUCUGUUUCUAAGUUUGGUAGGAGAGACGGAUUCUUUUGUAGCAUUCUAGUAAACUUUCAAAGGUUUUAUAAAAACAUUCUAAAAGUUUGCUGGUUCAAAUAGAAUGUAAAAUAUAUUAGAAAGUAAUUAGGUCUUGUGAAAACAACUUAUGCUAAGUAUGAGUAUUAAAAUACCACAUAAUUUUGAGUAUAAAAUAUGAAGUCAGGUUGGACAGGUUUAAUAAAGGUGCUGUGCUGUUUUGUGUUUGGGAACCAGCUUUGUUGGCUCAAAGUGAAAAACAUUGCUAAGCUAGUAAGUCUUAUAACUUUAGAGACUGACCUCUCUCACCACAAAUCUUGGAACAUACUUACUGUGCUUAAAAUAACUACUGUCUAAUUCUUCAAAUAAUAGCUCAUGCGUGAGACAAUAUGAGACCUCUGAGAGAAAUAGUACUGGGAUUUAAAUUAUUGUUUUAGCUUCCUAUCAGCUUUUCUAGUUUUUAAGACAUCUGACUUCAGAAUUGCUUCAUUGAUAAUUUUCACAGUUUACUAGUAUGCCAAAUGAAUAUGCACUGUUGGGAAGAAUGUAUGAGUAGUUUUGAAAGAAUGAAACAGCUUUAGGAAAAAUGCAUAUGUGGAUACUUGUUUUGGUUUAGUUUUGGGGGGCAGUUGAGCCCAAGUUCUUGUGCUUUCUAAUAUAAUCAUUUCCUUUUGGGUGUUUUUUAUUUUUAGACAGGAUCUCACAGUGUAGCCCUAGCUAACCUGGAAUUUGUUGUAUAGAUCAAACUGGCCUUGAACCCACAGAGAUCUGCCUGCCUCUACCUUUGAAGUGCUAGGAUUAAGGACAUUCCUCACUACCACUACACCCUUAAUAUAGUUGUUUGGGUUUUUUGUUUUGAUGGGGUUUUUUUUUUUAGCAUUUUUAUUUUAUGUGUAUGGAUAUUUUGCCUGCAUGUAUGUCUGUGUAGUGCAUGUGUGCCUGUUGUUUGCUGGGGCUAGAGGACAGUGUCAUAUUCCCUGGAUCUGGGUUUAAAAGUGGUUAUAAGCCAUCAUGAGGGUCCUGGAAAAGCAACUAAUGCCUUUAGUUGUUGAGCCAUCUCUCCAGCUCCAUGGAUAGCUAUUCCUGACAGAGGUUGUUGGUUACUAAAAUAUUUUCAGUGUUUUCUGGGGUAGUGGACAUUUACUUGAGGCCUAUACUGAAUGAGAGUGCAUAAUAAAAAUUUGACAUGCAUUGCUGAUUUGAUGGCUUUCUGGUUUAGUGUUGGUCAGAGGCAGGAGCAGUCUUGAAUGAGCACCUAUUUCAGUUAUGUUUAACUUUUAAUUCAUCUCAAUUUUGAAAAUUAAAAAGAAAUUUGUGCUUCUGACUUAACAGUCAAGAGAUUGAUUUUUAUCUCAGGUGUGUAUCAAAGUCUUUAUUUUUAAUACUAUAUCCUAUUAUCUUUAAUUUUUCUCAGCCUAAUGCACUACUAGCAUAUUUUAUAGGUGAGGCAUUACUAUUGCUUUCUGCACAGAGAGUUUUGGAAUUUUGUAUCAUUUAUGAACUUCUAACACUAAAAACUUACCUGCUUUCCAUUUAGAUUUGGUAAAGUCAGCGUUCAGGAAGACUCCGUCUGCUAGACAGUGCUGUGAGAAUAUUGAGCGGCACCUACAAAAUACAACAGAGCUGGCCAUGGCAUGGUGGCACAUACUUAGAAGCACGUAUAGAGUUUAACAUUUUCACUAGUCAAGCUGCUCAUAUUACCAGCAAAUGUCUAUGACAUAAGAGUCAUUCUGGCUACUAACCUGUGUGAAUUCAAAAUGUUUGCUGAGGCAGGAGCAGCGACUCAGUGGUUAAGAGGACUUGGUUGUCCUCAUUCUGGUUCAGUUCCUGUCACCCACAUGGCUCCUCGUGUUCAUUCGUAAUUCCAGUCCCAGGCAAUCUUUUCUGAACAGGCUCAGGCUGAGGCAGGAGAAUUGCUGUGAGUUUGAAGUCAGACUGGCCUUUGGUAAGACUGAAGAGGAGGAAGAAGAGAAAGGAGGAGGAAGAGGAGGAAGGAAGAAGUCUUGUUUUAGUUCAGAAGUCUGUCUGUAGAUGUUUGAGGUUCAAAACUCAUUACAGACUUUUAGUUUUUAAUUUGUGGAUCUUUUUCAAUUUUUUCCAAUUUGGAAAUUAGAAUCAGUACUUUUUGGGGUGUUUGUUUGUUUUUCCAAGGCAGGGUUUCUUUUUGUAGCCAUGGCUGUGGAACAGGCUAGCCUUGAACUCAUAGAUCCACCUGUCUCUGCCUCCUGGGUGGUGGGAUUAAAGGCCAUGUGGGGCUGAAAUAGUACUUUCUAAAUGUUGUACUGACAAGAUAACUCAGCAGGCAAAAGUGUUUGCUGUCAAGCCCAAUGACCUGGUUCAAUCCCUGAGACCCUUGUGAUGGAAAAGAGAAACCAACACCUCAAAGUUUUGUUUUGUUUUGUGUUUUAAUGGAUAGAAGAAAUAUUAAUGGAAACUAACUUGGCUUCCCCAAACCAAAAUUAUUUAAUGAAAAGAAUGUUCAUAUUUAACUUUUUUCCAUCUUUAAGAGAAGAUAUGUAUGUAUCUCCAUAUCAAUUUCUGAAUUUAGCAUACAGAUAAGGGUUUUUAAAAAAGCAUUUACCUUUUAGGAUACUUAAUGAUACUAUGGUAUAGCUCCAGGGAUGAUUAUUUCGUAAGGAUUGGUUGGCAUUUGUCUGAAGCUGUAUCAGUGUACUCCUUACAUUGUUAAGUUAAAUAUUGAUUGAACCACAGACACUAGUCUGACUUACACUUCAAAUAUAUCUCUUCAUGGUUUUGUUACAUGUAUUGAGUUAUUUGGAAAACAUCCCACUGACAAAACCAGACUGAAGUUACUCAGAUCUUCCAAAUGCUGACACAGUUUGUUAUACAAUGAAAAGAUUUCCUCCCAACCUAAGAAUUUUUUUUUUAAUAAAAUUAAGGAG
rnacentral:lncRNA from 1 species